rnacentral:lncRNA from 1 species
UUUCUUAAUUUACGGAAAAUCUCAUAAACAUCAAUCUUUUAGAAACAGAGGGAGUAUAUCUUUAGCCAAAGUGCAUUUCAGGUUAGUUCAUUUAAAUGAAGUUGGCAAUUAAAAACAAAAAAAAAACAAAAAUUAUAAACUUUUUGUUACAUGUAUACGUAACAGAAUCAAACAAACAGAAAAGAGGGUUUUGUGAUACAAUGUAAACUAAGAAGAGUUCGCCAUAUAAUGAAG